AACAAACGCUGGCGGCGUGCCUAACACAUGCAAGUCGAACGAGAAAGUCCGCUUCGGUGGAUGAGUAAAGUGGCGCACGGGUGAGUAACGCGUGGAUAAUCUACCAUUUAGUCGGGAAUAACUCAUCGAAAGGUGAACUAAUACCGGAUAAUACUGCAGAACUACUGUUGUGCAGUCAAAGAAGGCCUCUGCUUGCAAGCUUUUGCUGAAUGAUGAGUCCGCGUACCAUUAGCUAGUUGGUAGGGUAAUGGCCUACCAAGGUUAUGAUGGUUAGCUGGUCUGAGAGGAUGAUCAGCCACACUGGAACUGAAACACGGUCCAGACUCCUACGGGAGCAG
rnacentral:rRNA from 1 species